rnacentral:rRNA from 1 species
AGUAACGCGUGGGCAACCUGCCUCAUACAGGGGGAUAACAGUUAGAAAUGACUGCUAAUACCGCAUAAGCGCACAGCAUCGCAUGAUGCCGUGUGAAAAACUCCGGUGGUAUGAGAUGGACCCGCGUCUGAUUAGGUAGUUGGUGGGGUAACGGCCUACCAAGCCGACGAUCAGUAGCCGACCUGAGAGGGUGACCGGCCACAUUGGGACUGAGACACGGCCCAA